rnacentral:rRNA from 1 species
UGGGGAAUAUUGCACAAUGGGCGCAAGCCUGAUGCAGCCAUGCCGCGUGUGUGAAGAAGGCCUUCGGGUUGUAAAGCACUUUCAGCGAGGAGGAAGGUGGUGAGCUUAAUACGCUCAUCAAUUGACGUUACUCGCAGAAGAAGCACCGGCUAACUCCGUGCCAGCAGCCGCGGUAAUACGGAGGGUGCAAGCGUUAAUCGGAAUUACUGGGCGUAAAGCGCACGCAGGCGGUUUGUUAAGUCAGAUGUGAAAUCCCCGGGCUCAACCUGGGAACUGCAUUUGAAACUGGCAAGCUAGAGUCUCGUAGAGGGGGGUAGAAUUCCAGGUGUAGCGGUGAAAUGCGUAGAGAUCUGGAGGAAUACCGGUGGCGAAGGCGGCCCCCCUGGACGAAGACUGACGCUCAGGUGCGAAAGCGUGGGGCAGCAAAACAGGAUUAGAUACCCUGGUAGUCCA